UACGGGGGGGGCAAGCGUUGUUCGGAAUUACUGGGCGUAAAGGGCUCGUAGGCGGCCAACUAAGUCAGACGUGAAAUCCCCAGGCUCAACCUGGGAACUGCGUCUGAUACUGGAUGGCUUGAAUUCGGGAGAGGGAUGCAGAAUUCCAGGUGUAGCGGUGAAAUGCGUAGAUAUCUGGAGGAAUACCGGAGGCGAAGGCGGCAUCCUGGACCGACAUUGACGCUGAUGAGCGAAAGCUAGGGGAGCAAACGGG
rnacentral:rRNA from 1 species